rnacentral:rRNA from 1 species
GGGUUGUGAGGUUAAGCGACUAAGCGUACACGGUGGAUGCCCUGGCAGUCAGAGGCGAUGAAGGACGUGCUAAUCUGCGAUAAGCGUCGGUAAGGUGAUAUGAACCGUUAUAACCGGCGAUUUCCGAAUGGGGAAACCCAGUGUGUUUCGACACACUAUCAUUAACUGAAUCCAUAGGUUAAUGAGGCGAACCGGGGGAACUGAAACAUCUAAGUACCCCGAGGAAAAGAAAUCAACCGAGAUUCCCCCAGUAGCGGCGAGCGAACGGGGAGCAGCCCAGAGCCUGAAUCAGUGUGUGUGUUAGUGGAAGCGUCUGGAAAGGCGCGCGAUACAGGGUGACAGCCCCGUACACAAAAAUGCACAUGCUGUGAGCUCGAUGAGUAGGGCGGGACACGUGGUAUCCUGUCUGAAUAUGGGGGGACCAUCCUCCAAGGCUAAAUACUCCUGACUGACCGAUAGUGAACCAGUACCGUGAGGGAAAGGCGAAAAGAACCCCGGCGAGGGGAGUGAAAAAGAACCUGAAACCGUGUACGUACAAGCAGUGGGAGCACGCUUCGGCGUGUGACUGCGUACCUUUUGUAUAAUGGGUCAGCGACUUAUAUUCUGUAGCAAGGUUAACCGAAUAGGGGAGCCGAAGGGAAACCGAGUCUUAACUGGGCGUUAAGUUGCAGGGUAUAGACCCGAAACCCGGUGAUCUAGCCAUGGGCAGGUUGAAGGUUGGGUAACACUAACUGGAGGACCGAACCGACUAAUGUUGAAAAAUUAGCGGAUGACUUGUGGCUGGGGGUGAAAGGCCAAUCAAACCGGGAGAUAGCUGGUUCUCCCCGAAAGCUAUUUAGGUAGCGCCUCGUGAAUUCAUCUCCGGGGGUAGAGCACUGUUUCGGCAAGGGGGUCAUCCCGACUUACCAACCCGAUGCAAACUGCGAAUACCGGAGAAUGUUAUCACGGGAGACACACGGCGGGUGCUAACGUCCGUCGUGAAGAGGGAAACAACCCAGACCGCCAGCUAAGGUCCCAAAGUCAUGGUUAAGUGGGAAACGAUGUGGGAAGGCCCAGACAGCCAGGAUGUUGGCUUAGAAGCAGCCAUCAUUUAAAGAAAGCGUAAUAGCUCACUGGUCGAGUCGGCCUGCGCGGAAGAUGUAACGGGGCUAAACCAUGCACCGAAGCUGCGGCAGCGACGCUUAUGCGUUGUUGGGUAGGGGAGCGUUCUGUAAGCCUGUGAAGGUGUGCUGUGAGGCAUGCUGGAGGUAUCAGAAGUGCGAAUGCUGACAUAAGUAACGAUAAAGCGGGUGAAAAGCCCGCUCGCCGGAAGACCAAGGGUUCCUGUCCAACGUUAAUCGGGGCAGGGUGAGUCGACCCCUAAGGCGAGGCCGAAAGGCGUAGUCGAUGGGAAACAGGUUAAUAUUCCUGUACUUGGUGUUACUGCGAAGGGGGGACGGAGAAGGCUAUGUUGGCCGGGCGACGGUUGUCCCGGUUUAAGCGUGUAGGCUGGUUUUCCAGGCAAAUCCGGAAAAUCAAGGCUGAGGCGUGAUGACGAGGCACUACGGUGCUGAAGCAACAAAUGCCCUGCUUCCAGGAAAAGCCUCUAAGCAUCAGGUAACAUCAAAUCGUACCCCAAACCGACACAGGUGGUCAGGUAGAGAAUACCAAGGCGCUUGAGAGAACUCGGGUGAAGGAACUAGGCAAAAUGGUGCCGUAACUUCGGGAGAAGGCACGCUGAUAUGUAGGUGAAGCGACUUGCUCGUGGAGCUGAAAUCAGUCGAAGAUACCAGCUGGCUGCAACUGUUUAUUAAAAACACAGCACUGUGCAAACACGAAAGUGGACGUAUACGGUGUGACGCCUGCCCGGUGCCGGAAGGUUAAUUGAUGGGGUCAGCGCAAGCGAAGCUCUUGAUCGAAGCCCCGGUAAACGGCGGCCGUAACUAUAACGGUCCUAAGGUAGCGAAAUUCCUUGUCGGGUAAGUUCCGACCUGCACGAAUGGCGUAAUGAUGGCCAGGCUGUCUCCACCCGAGACUCAGUGAAAUUGAACUCGCUGUGAAGAUGCAGUGUACCCGCGGCAAGACGGAAAGACCCCGUGAACCUUUACUAUAGCUUGACACUGAACAUUGAGCCUUGAUGUGUAGGAUAGGUGGGAGGCUUUGAAGUGUGGACGCCAGUCUGCAUGGAGCCGACCUUGAAAUACCACCCUUUAAUGUUUGAUGUUCUAACGUUGACCCGUAAUCCGGGUUGCGGACAGUGUCUGGUGGGUAGUUUGACUGGGGCGGUCUCCUCCUAAAGAGUAACGGAGGAGCACGAAGGUUGGCUAAUCCUGGUCGGACAUCAGGAGGUUAGUGCAAUGGCAUAAGCCAGCUUGACUGCGAGCGUGACGGCGCGAGCAGGUGCGAAAGCAGGUCAUAGUGAUCCGGUGGUUCUGAAUGGAAGGGCCAUCGCUCAACGGAUAAAAGGUACUCCGGGGAUAACAGGCUGAUACCGCCCAAGAGUUCAUAUCGACGGCGGUGUUUGGCACCUCGAUGUCGGCUCAUCACAUCCUGGGGCUGAAGUAGGUCCCAAGGGUAUGGCUGUUCGCCAUUUAAAGUGGUACGCGAGCUGGGUUUAGAACGUCGUGAGACAGUUCGGUCCCUAUCUGCCGUGGGCGCUGGAGAACUGAGGGGGGCUGCUCCUAGUACGAGAGGACCGGAGUGGACGCAUCACUGGUGUUCGGGUUGUCAUGCCAAUGGCACUGCCCGGUAGCUAAAUGCGGAAGAGAUAAGUGCUGAAAGCAUCUAAGCACGAAACUUGCCCCGAGAUGAGUUCUCCCUGACUCCUUGAGAGUCUUGAAGGAACGUUGAAGACGACGACGUUGAUAGGCCGGGUGUGUAAGCGCAGCGAUGCGUUGAGCUAACCGGUACUAAUGAACCGUGAGGCUUAACCUUACAACGCCGAAG